CCUACGGGAGGCUGCAGUGGGGAAUAUUGGACAAUGGGGGGAACCCUGAUCCAGCCAUGCCGCGUGUGUGAAGAAGGCCCUCGGGUUGUAAAGCACUUUCAGUGAGGAAGAACGCCUGGUGGUUAAUACCCAUCAGGAAAGACAUCACUCACAGAAGAAGCACCGGCUAACUCCGUGCCAGCAGCCGCGGUAAUACGGAGGGUGCGAGCGUUAAUCGGAAUUACUGGGCGUAAAGCGCGCGUAGGUGGCAUGAUAAGCCGGUUGUGAAAGCCCCGGGCUCAACCUGGGAACGGCAUCCGGAACUGUCAAGCUAGAGUGCAGGAGAGGAAGGUAGAAUUCCCGGUGUAGCGGUGAAAUGCGUAGAGAGCGGGAGGAAUACCAGUGGCGAAGGCGGCCUUCUGGACUGACACUGACACUGAGGUGCGAAAGCGUGGGUAGCAAACAGGAUUAGAUACCCUGGUAGUC
rnacentral:rRNA from 1 species